rnacentral:rRNA from 1 species
UCUGGCUCAGGAUGAACGCUAGCGGCAGGCUAACACAUGCAAGUCGAGGGGCAUCGGGAGUAGCAAUACUGCCGGCGACCGGCGCAAGGGUGCGUAACGCGUGAGCAACAUGCCCGUAUCAGGGGGAUAAUCCAUGGAAAACGUGGUCUAAUACCCCAUAGUAAUUAUGUAAGGCAUCUUAUAUAAUUUAAAGCUUUGGUGGAUACGGAUUGGCUCGCGUGACAUUAGCUGGAUGGUAAGGUAACGGCUUACCAUGGCUACGAUGUCUAGGGGUUCUGAGAGGAAGGUCCCCCACACUGGAACUGAGACACGGUCCAGACUCCUACGGGAGGCAGCAGUGAGGAAUAUUGGACAAUGGAUGGAAAUCUGAUCCAGCCAUGCCGCGUGCAGGAAGACGGCCCUAUGGGUUGUAAACUGCUUUUGUAUGGGAGCAAUAAGGGCUACGUGUAGUCCGAUGAGAGUACCAUACGAAUAAGCACCGGCUAACUCCGUGCCAGCCGCCGC